AUUGAACGCUGGCGGCAGGCCUAACACAUGCAAGUCGAGCGAGCGGCGGACGGGUGAGUAAUGUAUGGGGACUGCCCGAUAGAGGGGGAUAACUACUGGAAACGGUAGCUAAUACCGCAUACUAUCGGAUAACCCAUAUGGGAUUAGCUAGUAGGUGAGGUAAUGGCUCACCUAGGCGACGAUCCCUAGCUGGUCUGAGAGGAUGAUCAGCCACACUGGGACUGAGACACGGCCCAGCGUCCGACGGAGGCAGCAGUGGGGAAUAUUGCACAGUGGGCGCGAGCCGGAUGCAGCCAUGCGGCGAGUAUGAAGAAGGCCCUAGGGUUGGAAAGUACUUUCAGGCGGGAGGCGUUGCCGACAGAAGAAGCACCGGCUAACUCCGUGCCAGCCGCCGCGGUAAUUC
rnacentral:rRNA from 1 species